AGGGUUUGAUUCUGGCUCAGGAUGAACGCUGGCGGCGUGCUUAACACAUGCAAGUCGAACGAAGCACAAGGAUUGGAGAUCUUCGGAUCAAAGAGAGAUGUGACUUAGUGGCGGACGGGUGAGUAACGCGUGGGUAACCUGCCUUAUACAGGGGGAUAACAGUUAGAAAUGACUGCUAAUACCGCAUAACCCGCUAGUACCGCAUGGUACGGACGGAAAAGAUGUAUCGGUAUAAGAUGGACCCGCGUCUGAUUAGCUGGUUGGUGGGGUAAAGGCCUACCAAGGCGACGAUCAGUAGCCGACCUGAGAGGGUGAUCGGCCACAUUGGGACUGAGACACGGCCCAA
rnacentral:rRNA from 1 species